rnacentral:rRNA from 1 species
AGAAUGAACGUUGGCGGCGUGGAUUAGGCAUGCAAGUCGAACGGGCCUGGUUUCGGAUCAGGUCAGUGGCGCAAGGGUGAGUAAGGCGACGGUAACCAACCCCAUGGUUGGGUAUAGCCGCGGGAAACUGCGGGUAAUCCCCAGCGAUGUAAGAUGCCGGCAUCGGUGUUUUAUCAAAGCUUUGGCGCCGUGGGACGGGCCGUCGUGGUAUUAAGUUGUUGGCGGGGUAACGGCCCACCAAGCCGAUGAUGCCUACCGGGCGUGCGAGCGUGGCCCGGCACACUGGGACUGAGACACUGCCCAGACUCCUACGGGAGGCUGCAGUCGAGAAUCUUCGGCAAUGGGCGCAAGCCUGACCGAGCGACGCCGCGUGGAGGAUGAAGGCCUUCGGGUUGUAAACUCCUGUCGAGGGGGAGGAAGGGGAAACCUUGACCGAUCCCUGGAGGAAGCACGGGCUAAGUUCGUGCCAGCAGCCGCGGUAAGACGAACCGUGCGAACGUUAUUCGGAAUCACUGGGCUUAAAGCGCGUGUAGGCGGAUGGGAACGUCGGAUACUGAAAGCCCCCGGCUCAACCGGGGAAGUGGUUCCGAAACGACCUGUCUGGGAGGGACGUAGGGGGAUCUGGAACUUCCGGUGGAGCGGUGAAAUGCGUUGAGAUCGGAAGGAACGCCCGUGGCGAAAGCGAGGUCCUGGACGUCUGCUGACGCUGAGACGCGAAAGCUAGGGGAGCAAACGGGAUUAGAUACCCCGGUAGUCCUAGCCGUAAACGAUGGGCAUUGGGUAGGGGGCUCGCCGAUGGGCUCUCUGCCGUAGCGAAGCGUGAAGUGCCCCGCCUGGGGAGUAUGGUCGCAAGGCUGAA